rnacentral:rRNA from 2 species
UAGGGAAUCUUCGGCAAUGGACGAAAGUCUGACCGAGCAACGCCGCGUGAGUGAAGAAGGUUUUCGGAUCGUAAAACUCUGUUGUUAGAGAAGAACAAGGACGUUAGUAACUGAACGUCCCCUGACGGUAUCUAACCAGAAAGCCACGGCUAACUACGUGCCAGCAGCCGCGGUAAUACGUAGGUGGCAAGCGUUGUCCGGAUUUAUUGGGCGUAAAGCGAGCGCAGGCGGUUUCUUAAGUCUGAUGUGAAAGCCCCCGGCUCAACCGGGGAGGGUCAUUGGAAACUGGGAGACUUGAGUGCAGAAGAGGAGAGUGGAAUUCCAUGUGUAGCGGUGAAAUGCGUAGAUCUAUGGAGGAACACCAGUGGCGAAGGCGGCUCUCUGGUCUGUAACUGACGCUGAGGCUCGAAAGCGUGGGGAGCAAACAGG